AAAUUGAACUCGCUGUGAAGAUGCAGUGUACCCGCGGCAAGACGGAAAGACCCCGUGAACCUUUACUAUAGCUUGACACUGAACAUUGAGCCUUGAUGUGUAGGAUAGGUGGGAGGCUUUGAAGUGUGGACGCCAGUCUGCAUGGAGCCGACCUUGAAAUACCACCCUUUAAUGUUUGAUGUUCUAACGUGGACCCGUAAUCCGGGUUGCGGACAGUGUCUGGUGGGUAGUUUGACUGGGGCGGUCUCCUCCUAAAGAGUAACGGAGGAGCACGAAGGUUGGCUAAUCCUGGUCGGACAUCAGGAGGUUAGUGCAAUGGCAUAAGCCAGCUUGACUGCGAGCGUGACGGCGCGAGCAGGUGCGAAAGCAGGUCAUAGUGAUCCGGUGGUUCUGAAUGGAAGGGCCAUCGCUCAACGGAUAAAAGGUACUCCGGGGAUAACAGGCUGAUACCGCCCAAGAGUUCAUAUCGACGGCGGUGUUUGGCACCUCGAUGUCGGCUCAUCACAUCCUGGGGCUGAAGUAGGUCCCAAGGGUAUGGCUGUUCGCCAUUUAAAGUGGUACGCGAGCUGGGUUUAGAACGUCGUGAGACAGUUCGGUCCCUAUCUGCCGUGGGCGCUGGAGAACUGAGGGGGGCUGCUCCUAGUACGAGAGGACCGGAGUGGACGCAUCACUGGUGUUCGGGUUGUCAUGCCAAUGGCACUGCCCGGUAGCUAAAUGCGGAAGAGAUAAGUGCUGAAAGCAUCUAAGCACGAAACUUGCCCCGAG
rnacentral:rRNA from 1 species